rnacentral:rRNA from 1 species
CGAGAGGGGAAUAACCCGGACGAAAGUCGGACUAAUACCGCAUAAAACAGGGGGCACCGCAUGGUGAUAUUGUUAAAGAAAUUCGCUGAUAGAUGGGCAUGCGUUCCAUUAGGUAGUUGGUGAGGUAACGGCUCACCAAGCCGACGAUGGAUAGGGGAACUGAGAGGUUGGUCCCCCACACUGGUACUGAGACACGGACCAGACUCCUACGGGAGGCAGCAGUGAGGAAUAUUGGUCAAUGGGCGGGAGCCUGAACCAGCCAAGUCGCGUGAAAAGGAAGAAGGAUCUAUGGUUACGUAAACUUCUUUUGCAGGGGAAAUAAAGUGCAGGACGUGUCCUGUUUUGUAUGUACCCUGAGAAUAAGGAUCGGCUAACUCCGUGCCAGCAGCGGC